GAACAGGCCUGGGAAGUUGUCCAGAGUAGGACUCUGCCUGCUCAGAGGCCAGGCAGACAUCCAAGGGCUUCAGUGCUGGGCACAGCCCGCAUCUGCUGAGUCACUGUGGACACGACACUGGAGCAGGGGUGAGAGUGUCAGAUCGGGCCCCGGGUGUCUUGACGGCUGAUGGAGAGGAGGAGUCUGUCUCAAGAGAGAAUGUCUUGUGGCCUUUUUUGCACCUUCUCCCAGGGAUGGCCUAAGA
rnacentral:lncRNA from 1 species